AAAAACCUAGCGGCGUCGGCGGUGGUAGUCAGUGACUGUGAAGAUGGCGGUGGUAGUGUUCUGGAUGGUGGUAGAUCUAAUGAGUUGUAGCCUCUGGGGGAGUAGAAAUUACCAAUCUCUUCAGUUCUUCACGAUCAGAUUGGAAGUUUCUACAAGCCGACUAAGACUGAAAUUAGUAAAUCAGAGAAUAAUCAUGUUGUUAAUGGCUUAGCAGCUAAGAGAAGAGGUUUUCCGAGCUUAGUAUUCUGCUCCAUCUUUCCAGUGCUUCAAAGGCCUUGCAGACUCGCAGUUUAAUCUUUUCCUUUGAAGAUCAUCCUUUUCUUCAGUUCAAACUAGGAUUUGGAUCUGUACUCAAGAGGAUGAUCAUAUCUUACAUUUUUAUUGAGCUAUUUCAUCAUUGGCUUAACUAACAGAUUCUGGAAUGGCGUGCUUUCUUUUUAUUCUAAUUGAUCUGCAAAUCCAGCAGUAUCAUAAUCUGUGUGGUGUUGCAGGGAGGAAUUGGAAGAUGAAGACUGAUUAAUCUGAUCUGAAACAGUGACCUAAAGAGACUAUGUUGUGCAGCUUUAUAGAAGUAAGAUUUGUAAAACGGAUGAUUGUCAGCAACUACUGUAAGUUCCAUCUCCAUCGACUUUGCGGUUUAACCUAAUGGUAUGGGGGCGCAUAUGGAUAGAGAUGUAUCUAGCAUUAGGUUUUAAAAUUUGAGUUUCUAAAUCAAGCUAUAACUAGAGCUACUUAGUUUGUUUUCCCGGAGGGAGUGAAGUCCCCAAGGAAAGAGAGUGGUAAAAUAUGUUUUCGUGUAAAGCUGCCCUUUUUGUUGAACUUACAUGUGAAUUGUGUAACUUGUGUUGGUACUUGGAAAACUCACUUAGAAUUUAGUACUA